rnacentral:rRNA from 1 species
GAUAAACGCUGGCGGCGCACAUAAGACAUGCAAGUCGAACGGACUUCACUCAUUCUUUUAGAUUGAGAGCGGUUAGUGGCGGACUGGUGAGUAACACGUAAGCAACCUGCCUAUCGGAGGGGAAUAACAGUGAGAAAUCAUUGCUAAUACCGCAUAAGCUAGUAGCAUCGCAUGAUGUAGCUAGAAAAGGUGUAAUCCGGUGAUAGAUGGGCUUGCGUCUGAUUAGCUAGAUGGUGGGGCAACGGCCUACCAAGGCGACGAUCAGUAGCCGGACUGAGAGGUUGCACGGCCACAUUGGGACUGAGAUACGGCCCAGACUCCUACGGGAGGCAGCAGUCGGGAAUAUUGCGCAAUGGAGGAAACUCUGACGCAGUUACGCCGCGUAUAGGAAGAAGGUUUUCGGAUUGUAAACUAUUGUCGUGAGGGAAGAAAUUGACAGUACCGCAGGAGGAAGCUCCGGCUAACUAUGUGCCAGCCGCCGCGGUAA